GGGGAUGACUGGUUUCGACGGGAAGAGCUCUUUUAAAACUGCAAGCCUUCUUUGAACAACAGAAGUAAAACAGGUUUAAAAAUUAAAUGCUGAAGAAAACGACAGCGUUCCUUCUUACGCAGUAGACAAAAACGUAAAUUUUGCGUUUAGUUUCGCGUAAAGGCAUUCCUCUGAUUUUUUGCUUGUCGGAAGCCUAAGGAGUGUAAACAAAGACAAGACGCAAGUGGUUGGUUUGCUAAGCACCAGCUACCCAUGCUUAAGCUUGGCAACCUUCAGUUUUCCAGGUUAACGGAUCAGACUGAAGGUAAAAAAGUUAACCUAAGCUUGUAGAUGUUUUAAUUUCGCCUUUUCGGAUUCCGGUUCAAUUCCGGACAUCUCCACCA
rnacentral:tmRNA from 1 species